GCGUGAGUGAAGAAGGCCUUAGGGUUGUAAAGCUCUUUUGGCGGGGACGAUAAUGACGGUACCCGCAGAAUAAGCCCCGGCUAACUUCGUGCCAGCAGCCGCGGUAAUACGAAGGGGGCUAGCGUUGUUCGGAAUCACUGGGCGUAAAGCGCACGUAGGCGGACUGAUUAGUCGGGGGUGAAAUCCCGGGGCUCAACCUCGGAAUUGCCUUCGAUACUGUCAGUCUCGAGUCCGGGAGAGGUGAGUGGAAUUCCUAGUGUAGAGGUGAAAUUCGU
rnacentral:rRNA from 1 species